rnacentral:rRNA from 1 species
GACGAACGCUGGCGGCGUGCUUAACACAUGCAAGUCGAACGGAAAGGCCCUGCUUUUGUGGGGUGCUCGAGUGGCGAACGUGUGAGUAACACGUGAGUAACCUGCCCUUGACUUUGGGAUAACUUCAGGAAACUGGGGCUAAUACCGGAUAGGAGCUCCUGCUGCAUGGUGGGGUUUGGAAAGUUUCGGCGGUUGGGGAUGGACUCGCGGCUUAUCAGCUUGUUGGUGGGGUUGUGGCUUACCAAGGCUUUGACGGGUAGCCGGCCUGAGAGGGUGACCGGCCAAAUUGGGACUGAGAUACGGCCAAGCCCCCUACGGGAGGCAGCAGGGGGGAAUAUUGCACAAUGGGCGGAAGCCUGAUGCAGAAACGCCGCGUGCGGGAUGACGGCAUUCGGGUUGUAACCCGCUUUCGCCUGUGACGAAGCGUGAGUGACGGUAAUGGGUAAAGAAGCACCGGCUAACUACGUG